rnacentral:rRNA from 1 species
GGCUCAGGAUGAACGCUGGCGGCGUGCUUAACACAUGCAAGUCGAACGAAGCACUUAUGACAGAUUCUUCGGAAGAUGGAUUAAGUGACUGAGUGGCGGACGGGUGAGUAACGCGUGGGUAACCUGCCUCAUACAGGGGGAUAACAGUUAGAAAUGACUGCUAAUACCGCAUAAGUGCACAGUACCGCAUGGUACGGUGUGAAAAACUCCGGUGGUAUGAGAUGGACCCGCGUCUGAUUAGCUAGUUGGUGGGGUAACGGCCCACCAAGGCGACGAUCAGUAGCCGACCUGAGAGGGUGACCGGCCACAUUGGGACUGAGACACGGCCCAAACUCCUACGGGAGGCAGCAGUGGGGAAUAUUGCACAAUGGGCGAAAGCCUGAUGCAGCGACGCCGCGUGAGCGAAGAAGUAUUUCGGUAUGUAAAGCUCUAUCAGCAGGGAAGAAAAUGACGGUACCUGACUAAGAAGCACCGGCUAAAUACGUG